AAUGAUUAUGAUGAUCUAUAUACCGCCCCAGUCUGAAUGUCUGAUGAUGGUUUUCUCUGAAAGAAA